rnacentral:rRNA from 1 species
UGGUGGAGUGAUUUGUCUGGUUAAUUCCGUUAACGAACGAGACCUCCGCCUGCUAAAUAGUCACGCGGUGCCUUUGUUGCACCCGCGGGAGUACUUCUUAGAGGGACUAUCGGCGUUUAGUCGAUGGAAGUUGGAGGCAAUAACA